rnacentral:lncRNA from 1 species
AACGAACGAGUCACCGCUCGUCUUGCGGCGGCUCCAGCGGCGGCGGCUUGUGCGGCGUGGCCGGCACGUAGGGCGACCGCUCGCGGGAGAAGACGUCCAGGUUCGGCUCCAUCGGAGUGGGCGCCUGGCGGACGCCGCUCAGCGCCGGCAUGGCCGGCACGUCACUCGGGGCGGAUGCCACCGCGUUGGGCGUGCGCUCCCCUGAGAGGCCCUCGACGAUGGGCGUCAGCGCGGCGCCCGCGGGCGGCUCGACGACGACCAUCGACGAAUGCUCCCGGGAGUAGACGUCCAGGUUUGGGUGCAUGGGCGUCGGCGGUUCCAACUUCUUGCCGCCCAGGCCCGACAGUUCGGGCAGGAAGAAGUCAUCAUCGGCGAUGUGGGCGUCGGCGGUUUCAGCGGUCGCCGGGGGGUUUGCAGCGGCGGCGGCGACGAUGAGGUCGUCGGCGGGAGCCUGACCGAUGGUCCAGCCCGCCGUUGGGGACGCCGCGGCGUCCAACUUGGCGCCCUCUCUCAUGCCGGACUUGUGCGACGUCUUGGUCUUGGCCGAGGAACGACGGGUGCUCAUCUGCGACUUCGGAACGAGUAUUCCCGGUUGCGAGCGCUGUUCUGUCGAUGACAACCCGCUGUUUACGAAGGCAUCGGCCGCUGAGGCAAAAUGCCUGCAGAGCCCGCAGGGACUGCGUAACACUACGCAGUGAAAACGGAUGCAUACUGAGGGGAAGUCCCGGAAGUGGCAGCUGACCGUCUGACCAACCUGGACCAGGGUGGCGUUGGACUGCUGGUGGACGCUGGUGCUCAGCAUGACGACAUUCGCGUUCGCUGCUGCAAGUAAACCAGGUUCUGCGCCGCGCAAGCAGCGGCUAACAACAGGAGCGUCCAUGGAAACUUUACCAGACGGUGCAUCUUAGCCGUCCGCGCU